rnacentral:rRNA from 1 species
UACGGGGGGGGCAAGCGUUGUUCGGAAUUACUGGGCGUAAAGGGCUCGUAGGCGGCCUGCUAAGUCGAACGUGAAAUCCCUGGGCUCAACCCAGGAACUGCGUCCGAUACUGGUUGGCUUGAAUCCGGGAGAGGGAUGUGGAAUUCCAGGUGUAGCGGUGAAAUGCGUAGAUAUCUGGAGGAACACCGGUGGCGAAGGCGGCAUCCUGGACCGACAUUGACGCUGAGGCGCGAAAGCCAGGGGAGCAAACGGG